CUAUACUCACAAUUCUUCUUUUAAGAUUUUCUUUAAAUUAUAAAAAAAAGGUUAUCAGUUUUUUAAAAUAUAAUCAAACAAACAAAAUCGAAUUUCCUUUAAUUUUUUUCUCUAUCUUAUUUUCUCUUCUUCCUUAACCGUCCCACUCCCUCUCUUCUUUCUCUCAUAUUUUUCCUUCUUUCUCCUCCUUGUGUCGCCCAAACUCUAGGUUUUUUUUUCCCAAGUGUGUCACCCUCUCCUCCUCCUUGUUUGGUGCCGUUUUGCUUCUCUUUCUCCUCUCCUUUUGUUGCUGAUUUUGUUGCUGUUUUUACAGUCAAUUCAUUGUUAUUUGCAGCCUCCAAAAUCAUUCUUUUUGUUUCCAAAAGUUCCUCUUUUGUUUUGCCCUAAUCAGAUCUCUUUUGUCAUCGCCUAUGGUGGUGUGCUGCCCUUUGAUCACCACUUUUGGGGCUGCCAUUUUUCCUUCUUUUACUGCACUAUCUGAUACCUUAUUCCAUCACUUAUUCCUUGUUUAUAACAUCCCCAAAAUUUUUCAAUUGAGUGUGCAUUCGAUCUCUUUUAGGUCGUUGAUUCAAAUCUAGGAAACGAAAAGUCUAAAUGCAAAUUAUUCCGUUUAAAAUUUGUUGUUUUGGGUCGAUUGUUCUAGGGCCUUGGAUUGGUUUUUACAUACUGAUUUUUAAUAAUAUUUUGGUAUUGGGUUUUGAUUUUAACACCCCGGUUCAGCAGUGAAGUCAGAUCUUAUCCGCACUAUCGUUUUGGGUUAAAACAAUGUAAACCUCAAAACUAGGACCGAACCCGGCAUACGGAGUAUCACCUCAGACACCGGAUUAUUUUUAAAUAAGUAUUUUUAAUAAGUUUUUUUUAUUGGUUUUGGAUUGUAAUUUUAAGUUUCUAAUUUGUGGUUUGAUUAUUUUGUUUUGGAACUUCUAUGCAUGAAUUAUUCAUUCGAAUGGUUCGGAUUUAAUAA